AGCGUAGGCGGUCGAUUAAGUUAGAUGUGAAACCCCCGGGCUUAACUUGGGGACUGCAUCUAAUACUGGUUGACUUAGAGUACAGGAGAGGGAAGCGGAAUUCCCAGUGUAGCGGUGAAAUGCGUAGAUAUUAGGAGGAACACCAGUGGCGAAGGCGGCUUUCUGGACUGACACUGACGCUGAGGCUCGAAAGCGUGGGAGCAAACA
rnacentral:rRNA from 1 species